AUUGAACGCUGGCGGCAUGCCUUACACAUGCAAGUCGAACGGUAACAGGUCUUCGGAUGCUGACGAGUGGCGAACGGGUGAGUAAUACAUCGGAACGUGCCUAGUAGUGGGGGAUAACUACUCGAAAGAGUGGCUAAUACCGCAUGAGAUCUACGGAUGAAAGCAGGGGAUCGCAAGACCUUGUGCUACUAGAGCGGCCGAUGGCAGAUUAGGUAGUUGGUGGGAUAAAAGCUUACCUAGCCGACGAUCUGUAGCUGGUCUGAGCGGACGAUCAGCCACACUGGGACUGAGACACGGCCCAGACUCCUACGGGAGGCAGCAGUGGGGAAUUUUGGACAAUGGGCGAAAGCCUGAUCCAGCAAUGCCGCGUGCAGUAUGAAGGCCUUCGGGUUGUAAACUGCUUUUGUACGGAACGAAAAGCCCCGGGUUAAUACCCUGGGGUCAUGACGGUACCGUAAGAAUAAGCACCGGCUAACUACGUGCCAGCCGCCGCCGUAACAC
rnacentral:rRNA from 1 species